CAGCAGUCGCGAAAACUUCACACUGGGGGGAACCCCGAUGAGGGAAUUCCUAGUGCUUGGGCAUUUGUCCAAGCUUUUCCCGAGCGUAGAUAACUCGGGGAAUAAGGGCUGGGUAAGACGGGUGCCAGCCGCCGCGGUAAUACCUGCAGCCCGAGUGGUGGUCGAUUUUAUUGAGUCUAAAGCGUUCGUAGCCGGUCCGUUAAAUCCUUGGGUAAAUCGGGAAGCUCAACUUUCCGACUUCCGAGGAGACUGGCGGACUUGGGACCGGGAGAGGCCAGAGGUACUUCUGGGGUAGGGGUAAAAUCCUGUAAUCCUAGAAGGACCACCGGUGGCGAAGGCGUCUGGCUAGAACGGAUCCGACGGUGAGGGACGAAGCCCUGGGUCGCAAACGGGAUUAGAUACCCCGGUAGUCCAGGGUGUAAACGCUGCAGACUUGGUGUUGGAGGCCCUUCGGGGGCAUUCAGUGCCGGAGAGAAGUUGUU
rnacentral:rRNA from 1 species